rfam:Brassica napus, WGS project CCCW01000000 data, contig: 5631
GGAAGUUAAGAAACUGUUUCUUAGCUUUUAACUAAAAAGCUAAGAAUCGGUUCUUAAAUAAGGACUUUAAGAACCGGUUCUUAAAUAAGGACUUUAAGAACCAGUUCUUAGUUUUUUUAGUUAAAAAUUAAGAAACCGUUUCUUAACUUCC